rnacentral:rRNA from 1 species
CAGUCGCCGCGGGAAUACAGAGGGUGCAAGCGUUAAUCGGAAUUACUGGGCGUAAAGCGCGCGUAGGUGGUUUGUUAAGUUGGAUGUGAAAGCCCCGGGCUCAACCUGGGAACUGCAUCCAAAACUGGCAAGCUAGAGUACGGUAGAGGGUGGUGGAAUUUCCUGUGUAGCGGUGAAAUGUGUAGAUAUAGGAAGGAACACCAGUGGCGAAGGCGACCACCUGGACUGAUACUGACACUGAGGUGCGAAAGCGUGGGGAGCAAACAGGAUUAGAUACCCCCGUAGUCCCUGUCUCUUAUAA